CACACACACACACACACACACAGAUAAACUUGUGAAACAUGUACAAACACUAAAACACGAAUUUUACAUUUAACACACAGGUUGUGUUUCUGUCAAUAAAAAAAAUGCUUGUGUGUGUUUGUGUGUCCUGAUGGUGCCAUUUCUCAGUCCCCCACUCACUCACACACACACACACACACACACACACUUAACACACUUUUGUAACUGUACACCUGAUGUUGCCGUGGUAACUGACACAGUGGUCAUGUGUUGCUGAAUAAUUCAAAUACACACAGCGCCGGACACAACAAAUUUUCUCUUCAGAAAUGGAGGACAGUGUGUUGUUGGUGUGUGAAGCGCUCGGUGUGUGUGAGGUGGAUGAGGUCACCGCUGAGGAUGUGUGUGUUUUCUACCAAAGAGUAUUUCUACGGCAGACCAACACAGAGCUCAUCAAGAAGAUCAUCUCCUGGGUUACUGGUCGGGAUGGGGGCGUGUCCUGCAGUGCUGGAAAGGUUGCUGAGGUUCUUCUGGAGCUGGAGAGAGAGAAGGAGGCUAUGGAGGAGCUGUACUGGGAUAUCCAGAUGUUACAGUCAGGAGAGGCUGUAUGUAAAAUAUCCAGAACGCCCUGCUGUAUCAUCAGUCAGGUGUGUGUGUGUGUGCGUGAACGUACAUACUUUAUUGUUGUUCUCCUUGUGUGUAAUUUAAAUAUUUUUAUCUUCAGAACGGAGUGUGUGUGUGUGAACAGAAACUUCAACUCAUAUCCAGAAGACUCAACAACAGGAUGAGAGGAGAAAAUUGUGGACAUCUCCGCCAAGCGUCAGAGAGCCGUCCCUGCUCCUGCAGCAUAAAUAUGACAUCAUCAGAGAGCGGCUGUAUGCGGAGAUGCUGCAGCAUGAGUAUGGAGGGCUGUGGUGGGAGAACUUGUCGUCAUGGCAACAGCAGGAGCAUAUGUGUGAGGUGGCAGCAUGGGUGGAGCGGGCGGUGCAGCAAGGGAAUCUUUUGAGUUUGUGUGACCUGCCAGGGGCUCUACGGUGCUACAGGACCUCUGAUCGUGUGACCUCAGCUGUGUGUCCUGAGGAGAAUGGGCAGGCGUGGACGGCCAUGGUGUUCCUGACUGAACUGGAUUCUCUUCAGCAGCAGGAGAAGACAUCGCUGAGCGCACUGAUCAACAGGUCCAGCGUCCGAAGCAACAGAUUUGGGAUUUUAUUUUUU
rnacentral:lncRNA from 1 species